rnacentral:tRNA from 1 species
GCCGCCCUAGCUCAACGGUAGAGCAACCGCUUUGUAAGCGGUAGGUUGUCGGUUCAAGUCCGACGGGCGGCU